rnacentral:rRNA from 1 species
CACCAGGUUGAUUCUGCCUGACGUAGACGCUAUUCCCUAAGAUUAACCCAUGCAUGUUUUUGACAUUUGAAAAAUGGACUGCUCAGUAAUACUCACUUUAUUUUAUGUAAAUUUUUAAUUAACUACGUUAAAGUGUAGAUAAGAUGUUUACAGUAAGAGUGAGACCUAUCAGCUAGUUGUUAAGGUAAUGGCUUAACAAGGCUGUGACGGGUAACGGUAUUACUUUGUAAUAUUCCGGAGAAGGAGCCUGAGAGACGGCUACUAAGUCUAAGGAUUGCAGCAGGGGCGAAACUUGACCUAUGGAUUUUAUCUGAGGCAGUUAUCGGAAGUAAUAUUAUAUUGUUUCAUAUUUUAAAAGUAUAUGAGGUGAUUAAUUGGAGGGCAAAUCAAGUGCCAGCAGCCGCGGUAAUACUUGUUCCAAGAGUGUGUAUGAUGAUUGAUGCAGUUAAAAAGUCCGUAGUUUAUUUUUUUAAGAAGCAAUAUGAGGUGUACUGUAUAGUUGGGAGAAAGAUGAAAUGUGACGACCCUGACUGGACGAACAGAAGCGAAAGCU